rnacentral:misc_RNA from 1 species
AAUGGUGAGUAAUCGCGGCUCAUGUUUACAUGAGUUGAGGAAAGUCCAGGCUCGCCCGGUGCUGAGAUGCCCGGAGUGUUCGUGCCAUCUGCAAAGAUGGGCAGCAGACUUCUUGUCUGUUGACGGCGGAGAAAUCAUGCUAAGUCCAAUACGGAUACGCUGAGAGUACCCUGAAAGUGCCACAGAGACGAUACUCUUCUGGAAACGGAAGAGGUGGAACGGGUAAACCCCACGAGCGAGCAACCCAAACUUUGGUAGGGGCACCAUCCUGCGGGAAUUGAACC